GGCCUCGCGCUUCUUGUUCAUCUCUAUCUGCACGGAUGUGGCCCCGCCGGCCUCCUCCAGCCUCUCACUGAUCUCCUCCAGCUCCCGGGACAGGUCAGAGCGCAGCUUCUCCACCUUGGCCCGGGCUGUGCGCUCGGCCUCCAGCUCCUCCUCCAGCUCCUCGAUGCGUGCCUAGCCAGGGACACAGAGGGUCAGACCUGCUUCCUGCACCCCUCCAUUGAGGCCCGCCCUGGGGCUCUAAAAGAUCCCUGGCCUAUGAGAACAGCACGUCCAUGAUGCUCUCCUGCGUCAGCUUCAGGUCACCCUCCAGCUUCCGCUUGGCUCGCUCUAGGUCCAUGCGCACCUUCUUCUCCUGCUCCAGGGAUCCCUCCAGCUGGCAGAGAGAAGGACCAGCCAUGAACCACAAGAUGCCAACUUUCCUGUUGCCCCAAAAUGGAUUCGGAUGAAUUUCCCCUGAAGAGAUGGAUGGGAGAGAGCAGCAAUGAGCCUGGGAAAGGCUCACAUUUGAGGCCAUCCUUCGAAAGCCAGCACAAGUCCCAAGUUCAAGGUGGAGUAUCACUCACAAAUCGAGAGGAGUUGUCAUUCCGAACUGUCUUGGCAUUGCCAAAGGCCUCCAGAGCAGGGUUGGCUUGGAUGAUUUGAUCUUCCAGGGUACC